rnacentral:rRNA from 1 species
UACGUAGGGUGCAAGCGUUAAUCGGAAUUACUGGGCGUAAAGCGUGCGCAGGCGGCUAUGCAAGACAGAUGUGAAAUCCCCGGGCUCAACCUGGGAACUGCAUUUGUGACUGCAUGGCUAGAGUACGGUAGAGGGGGGAUGGAAUUCCGCGUGUAGCAGUGAAAUGCGUAGAUAUGCGGAGGAACACCGAUGGCGAAGGCAAUCCCCUGGACCUGUACUGACGCUCAUGCACGAAAGCGUGGGGAGCAAACAGG